rnacentral:rRNA from 1 species
CUGCUUGAUAUUUCUAGCGGCGGACGGGUGAGUAACGCGUGAGCAACCUGCCUUUAUCAGGGGGAUAACGCAUCGAAAGAUGUGCUAAUACCGCGUAAGACCACAGCUUCACAUGGAGCAGGGGUCAAAGGAGCAAUCCGGAUAAAGAUGGGCUCGCGUCCGAUUAGCUAGUUGGUGAGAUAACAGCCCACCAAGGCGACGAUCGGUAGCCGACCUGAGAGGGUGAUCGGCCACAUUGGAACUGAGACACGGUCCAAACUCC